AAGAUUGAUAAAAUCCUUGAAGAAAAAGUUCUAUGUUGUGGGGUCCAGAUGAACCCACUUGUGAUGUAAAUAUGCCUAUGAUAGCACAAUUGUUACACUGCCAACGGUCCUGAUCUGAACCUAAUAAGAAACCCUGUCGCAUGAGCUAUAGGGAACAUACAAGUGAGCCCAUCUCAUGGAACAUCAGCAUUUGACGCCACAAAUGAGCUUCUAGAACAGUCAAACAUUCUCAAAUACUCCUAAACCUGGGAAAAGACUUCCAGAGAAGCUACAGAGUGGAAUGACAUCAAAUUAAACAGGUUAUAAAUGGGAAGUCACUUUAGUUCAUGUGUGUAAAGGCAGAUGAGCGAAUACUCCAGCAAAAGUACUUUAAAAGAAAAGUCUGCCAAAUGACUGUAUAAAUGUAAUGUUAGGGUGACCUAUAAGAGAAGGUUAGAUACUUGAGCUUUAAUUAAGAGCAGCUGUCUCACCAAAAGCGCUUUCUCAUUUUUUCUUUCUUUCUUUCUUUCUUUUUUUUUGGGUAAAGUUGUGGAAGCCUUUUGAAGAGAAGUAGAUUCAUCUUUAUGAACUAUAUAACAUUUCUAGUCAUCUGAUUUUGAUUCAAACAGUUGAAAAUGUUCUGAAAAGUUGACGAGCCUCGACAAAAACGAAGCUAAAUGAAGUUAAGUGCACUGCUUUUAAUGUUUGGUUGUUUUCUUACAUCGUGAUACUUAAUCACUCAUUUACAUCCUUUCAUUUUCCAGGUUUAAUGUCGUUCAGGGUCACAGGGUUGCUGGAGCUAAUCCCAGCAACGGUUGACUGAAAGCAAGGUUCACCUUUGAUAGAUUGCCAGUUUUUUUAAGCGCAUUUAUGUAACUGUUCAUUCAAUCAUUUUAUAUUUUUCAUGCAUGUCAUUCUUUUUUGUCUGGAACACACAAAAAAACAUGUUUUUAUAAUGCAGGCAAGCAGUUUUUUUCUUUUUUUAAUAUAAAUUUGAUCUUCAAGCAGCAUGACCAACUACUGUAUGUUCCAAGUUAUUAUUGUUCUAGUUACAAACUCGUGUUUAGGCCAAAGUGAUAAUAUAGAAUCUUGAGGCUACAGUAUGUGACCAGAACUUCUUUUUCAGGUGUCCAAUGACACACCCUGCAGCCAAUCAGAUCCAAGUAUUCACCCCGACUGUGGUAUAAAAUGAAUGAAUGAAUGAAUGAAUUAAUUAAUUAAUUUAUGAUGUACUAAAAACAAAACAACCAGACUGACGAAAGGGAUUUCAAAUACGACAAAAACUUGUCGUGAAAAUGACACCAUGAGCCACCUAAAAAACUAAGGACCAGAGCAGGAAUCCAGGCUUUCUGACAGUCUGUCGAUCAUUAAUGUUGACACUUGGUCUACAGGUUGCGGUCUCUACUGAGGUAAUCGGUGUGGGCCGCGGCUGGUCGGACUGCCUCGGUCUCCCAUUGGUGCCACAGGGGAGGUGCUUGGGGGCAGGAGCCGGGAUUUGCCCCAGUGAUUGGCUCCUUCUUGGCUUCUCUCUCCUUGUGUGAGAAUCCAGUCAUUGUAAGGAAAUACAAGACUCUGCAUCCAUCACUGAACAAUUUAGCAGACGACACCUUGUUAGAGCUGAUAAGCAGAGCCAGCUGCUUCCCAAGGGCUGCAGGGAGGCAAGCGUGCAACAAAAUCAGCUACAUCUGUAUAUUUAUUUAAUCUGCAGAGCUAACCAACCGAAGCCGUGUUCAUGAUGUCGGCACUUACAGCUGAGCUGCUCCAGCGACGCUGGACAGCCGCUCAGUCUGCAUGUUCAGCAGGAAGGUGUGUUCUUAUUAUUGGAGGAAUAAUACACGUGCCUUUAACAGAUGCAGAAAAUAUUAUUUAUUCACUAGAAUAUUUUACAUAUUCGAGAAACCUUCUGUCAACAGCUUUUACUGAAAGAGUGCAAAUGAGUUUAUUUUCUUGGAAAGACAUUUGUAACUUAAUGUUGUUUUACUUUUGCAUAUAAAUCUGCUGGAAUUUAGCUGAAAUGAUCUGCAGUAGUUCCAAGGGGUUUGUAAAAUAAAUAGAAGAAUGAAAGAAAACAUGUAAAAAUGUCAAAUAUCUAAAAGAAAAUAAUAAAAGUUGAAAUCACCAUUUAAACUUUUUUUUCCUAUUUUUUUUUUACUUUUUAUGUUUAUGUUGGGAUAAAAAUGUUGUUUAGGGUAUUCAGCUGUGUUCUAUAUCCCAUAGAAGUAAAAUGAAAGUCACAUAUGUGUUUAUUCAUUUCAAUAUCACUCUUGCAAAGUCACGUGGGUAAUUUGAAAUCACGCGUGUGCUUUUAUUUUACACUUCCAAAGUAAACUUCUUGAGAACGUGCAAAAAAGACUCACUUGUGGGAAAAACCAUCCACAAAUGCUGCACACUGACCGAUCUCUUGAUUCCCAUACACACAAGUCUUCCCCCUGCAGGUAAUAUAUAUAUAUAUAUAUAUAUAUAUAUAUAUAUUCCUAAUGUUGCAUUCACACUGAGUGGGAUCUGCACGUCAAAUUCAUGUCGGCCGCCUCCCCAUUCGUCACAUGGUGAAUUUGAUGCGGUCCAAAAAUGUUUUCUUCCCCGGCCACGUGUUGAAGGAUGUUUUCAACCUAAUUGCUACUUAGAGUGUAUUAGAGUAUCUGUGUUUAUCUCAUUUAUAAUGCAUGGAAGACACCAAUGAUGUUUAGAGAUCAGUUUUAUUUAUUUCAAAGAGGUCUAAAAGCAUAUUAUUAGCCUAAUCAUGUCUCCAUGUUUGGGUUCAGGAUCAUUCAGAGGUUCUCUUGGUACUAAGAGCUUCACUCCCGCUGUGUCUGGAUGAUGGUCGCUGUGGUGUUGUGACUGAGCCUUGCUGUCCCGGAUUAAAGCUAGAGGUAUGAAAAUGAAAAUAAGAAAAAUAUUCAAAGUUCAGGAGGCCCAGGCAGGCAGCCUCUCCACCCCGCAGCGGCUCUCUGUCUGCUAGCCUAGAGAGCGAGCGAGCUCUAUUGACACCAGCGGCGGCUCUCCACGGGCAUGACAGACUGACAGCCUGUCAAGGGUGUAUCCUGCCUUCGUCCAACAGCAGCCGGAAUGGGCUCGGCCACCCCACGGCCCUACCGGGCUUAAGGGAUAGAUUGAAGUUCAGGACAAAAAACUUGGAUUGGUAUUCUACCCCCUGAUUGAGUCAUUGAAAACGUCAUGUCCCUAAAGUUGAGUCCCUGAUUGGUAGACACACCACGGCGACCUUGCCAAAAUUUAGAUUAUUAAACUUUCACCAUGUCGCUCAAAUCGCACUGCUCAAAUGACCCUGUAGAACCUCAGAUCCUGUCUGCACCAUUGACUUAACAUUAAAAUUGGCGCCUGUGCCCUGCAAAUUGUGUUCGGUGUGAACAUAACAUAAGAAACACCAAACGUUACACCAAGGUGUUCAGGGAAAAUCUACAUCACUGCAAAUCAGCAUCUGUAACCCUUUAACACCGGAGACGUCUCUGGCGACUCCUAAAUAAUUCACGCUCUUUGACAUACUGUAAUUCUUCUUGUGUUUGGGCAGCUUUUUGUUUGGCAUCAACAUGCAACAUGUUAGUAAAGUGUUGCAUAACUGUGCAAAGCUCCUUUACUUGAGAAUCUGCCGGAAUUAUGGUAAUAGCAUAAAUGGUUGAAGAGUGACAGUAGUGAGAAGAAUGUGAACAUUGGAGUUAAAGUUCCAGUGUUAAAGGCUUAAGCUUUACAUAAAGUCCCUUGUGUCAAAAAAAAAAAAAACAAAAAAAACUACAAAGGUGACAUAGCAACUAUGACUGAAAUGAAGUCACAUGUCUAACUUCCACAUGUAGCAGAGUGCAUUUCUGUGUGUGAGACACUGAUUCGGACCUUAAAGGAGAAACACUGACCCCAUUCUCUUCAAUCACCACCGGUGCUGUUGACCUAUGGGUGCUGAUGGAAAUGUGACGUUUAUGCAUGAAAAGGAAGAAAGGGAAGAAAGUAAAGACAAAGGUGUUUGUCAUGGUGCCUCUGUCAGUCUCCUCCCCCUCGCCUCUCCACCCCACUGCUGAUUAUCCCCAGCUGCGACCACUCACCUCAUCACCUCGUCUGCCUUUUUAAGGAGCUCCAGGAUCAUCAUUCCUCGCCAGUCCGUUGCCCCUGAUGGUGCAUAGUUGGUCACCUCUCCUAGUCACAGUCUUGCCAUGUGUUUGUCAAGACUCUGUCUUAUGCCUUUUCUACUCAUCCUCAGGAAUCUGUUACCACGAGUGGUCGCGAAUAUCAGCCUCAACCCGGAUCCCCAGUUUGGUCUUCUCUCCAGCGGUAACACCACGAGCCUCUGCCUCUGUUCCGUGGACCUUCGCCCAAGACGGCCAUCCCUUCCUGUGGUGGAACCUACCAGUGACGCCACCAGCCUCAGCCUCUCGCCUGGAAUCUACCACCAGCCCUGCUCACGCCCUACCUUACCUAAUCAUUAAAUCCUUUACCUGCCA